GCGCAGCAGGCGCGAAACCUUCGCAAUGCGGGAAACCGCGACGGGGGACUCCCAGUGCCUACGCUCAGCGUAGGCUGUUCCCGAGCCUAGAAAGCUCGGGGAGUAAGGGCUGGGUAAGACGGGUGCCAGCCGCCGCGGUAAUACCCGCAGCCCGAGUGGUGGCCACUAUUAUUGGGCCUAAAGCGUCCGUAGCCGGCCCGGUAAAUGCCUGGGUAAAUCGUGAGGCCUAACCUCACGAAUUCCGGGUAGACUGCCGGGCUAGGGGACCGGAGGAGGGAGAGGGUACUCCAGGGGUAGGGGUGAAAUCCUGUAAUCCCUGGAGGACCACCGGUGGCGAAGGCGCUCUCCUAGGACGGGUCCGACGGUGAGGGACGAAAGCCAGGGGAGCGAACCGGAUUAGAUACCCCUGUAGU
rnacentral:rRNA from 1 species